AGCUCCAAUAGCGUAUACUAAUGUUGUUGCAGUUAAAAAGCUCGUAGUCGGAUUUCAGUAGGCGCAGGAUGUUCAUCUUGUAACGAACUGUUCUUACUUCUUUGACAGAAACAUUUAUGUUAUUCAUUUAGCGUGAAUUGCGACUGUCUCUUUUACUUUGAGAAAAUUAGAGUGUUCAAAGCAGGUGUUUGCCUGAAUAUUACUCUUGGAAUAAUGCUAUAUGACUUUGUGUCUAAUGUAUUGGUGAUUGGACACAGGGUAAUGAUUGAUAGGGACGGUUGGGGUC
rnacentral:rRNA from 1 species